UAAAACCAGCACCUCAAGUGGUCAGGAUGAUUAUUGGGCCUAAAGCAUCCGUAGCCGGCUCUGUAAGUUUUCGGUUAAAUCUGUACGCUUAACGUACAGGCUGCUGGGAAUACUGCAGGGCUAGGGAGUGGGAGAGGUAGACGGUACUCAGGAGGAAGUGGUAAAAUGCUUUGAUCUCCUGAUGACCACCUGUGGCGAAGGCGGUCUACCAGAACACGUCCGACGGUGAGGGAUGAAAGCUGGGGGAGCAAACCGGAUUAGAUACCCGGGUAGUCCCAGCCGUAAACUAUGCAAACUCAGUGAUGCAUUGGCUUAUGGCCAGUGCAGUGUUGCAGGGAAGCCGUUAAGUUUGCCGCCUGGGAAGUACGUACGCAAGUAUG
rnacentral:rRNA from 2 species